rnacentral:rRNA from 1 species
ACCAGACUCCUACGGGAGGCAGCAGUGGGGGAUAUUGCACAAUGGGGGGAACCCUGAUGCAGCGACGCCGCGUGGGUGAAGAAGCGCCUCGGCGCGUAAAGCCCUGUCAGCAGGGAAGAAAAUGACGGUACCUGAAGAAGAAGCCCCGGCUAACUACGUGCCAGCAGCCGCGGUAAUACGUAGGGGGCAAGCGUUAUCCGGAUUUACUGGGUGUAAAGGGGGCGCAGACGGCGAUGCAAGCCAGGAGUGAAAGCCCGGGGCCCAACCCCGGGACUGCUCUUGGAACUGCGUGGCUGGAGUGCAGGAGGGGCAGGCGGAAUUCCUGGUGUAGCGGUGAAAUGCGUAGAUAUCAGGAGGAACACCGGUGGCGAAGGCGGCCUGCUGGACUGCAACUGACGUUGAGGCCCGAAAGCGUGGGGAGCAAACAGGAUUAGAUACCCCCGUAAC